GACCCGCAAGGGAGCGUGCACAGAUGCUGCAUGGCUGUCGUCAGCUCGUGCCGUGAGGUGUUGGGUUAAGUCCCGCAACGAGCGCAACCCUCGCUGCCAGUUACCAUGUCUGGCGGGACCGCCGGGUCCAACCCGGAGGAAGGUGGGGAUGACGUCAAGUCAGCACGGCUCUUACGUCUAGGGCUACACACACGCUACAAUGGCCGGUACAACGCGCUGCGAUGGGGCGACCCGGAGCGAAUCCCAUCAAAGCCGGUCUCAGUUGGGAUUGCAGGCUGCAACUCGCCUGCAUGAACGCGGAGUUGCUAGUAACCGCAGGUCAGCACACUGCGGU
rnacentral:rRNA from 1 species